GGANACGCUGGCGGCGUGCCUAAUACAUGCAAGUCGAGCGGACCAAAGGGAGCUUGCUCCUGGAGGUUAGCGGCGAACGGGUGAGUAACACGUGGGCAACCUGCCUGUAAGACUGGGAUAACAUCGAGAAAUCGGUGCUAAUACCGGAUAAUAAAAAGAACUGCAUGGUUCUUUUUUGAAAGAUGGUUUCGGCUAUCACUUACAGAUGGGCCCGCGGCGCAUUAGCUAGUUGGUGGGGUAACGGCUCACCAAGGCAACGAUGCGUAGCCGACCUGAGAGGGUGAUCGGCCACACUGGGACUGAGACACGGCCCAGACUCCUACGGGAGGCAGCAGUAGGGAAUCUUCCGCAAUGGACGAAAGUCUGACGGAGCAACGCCGCGUGAGUGAUGAAGGUUUUCGGAUCGUAAAACUCUGUUGUUAGGGAAGAACAAGUGCCGUUCGAAAGGGCGGCACCUUGACGGUACCUAACGAGAAAGCCACGGCUAACUACGUG
rnacentral:rRNA from 1 species